rnacentral:rRNA from 1 species
AUACGGAGGGUCCGAGCGUUAUCCGGAUUUAUUGGGUUUAAAGGGCGCGUAGGCGGAUUUAUAAGUCAGCUGUGAAAUUUUACGGCUCAACCUUGAUAUUGCCGUUGAUACUGGACGGCUUGAGUGUAGUAGAUGUGGGCGGAAUUCGUGGUGUAGCGGUGAAAUGCUUAGAGAUCACGCAGAAUUUCGAGUGCGAAGGCAGCUCACAGGGCUAUAACUGACGCUGAUGCACGAAAGUGUGGGGAUCAAACAGGAUUAGAUACCCUGGUAGUCCACACUGUAAACGAUGAAUACUCGCUGUUGGCGAUAUAAAGUCGGUGGCCAAGCGAAAGCGAUAAGUAUUCCACCUGGGGAGUACGACCGCAAGGUUGA